rnacentral:rRNA from 1 species
UACGGAGGGUGCAAACGUUGCUCGGAAUUAUUGGGCGUAAAGCGCACGUAGGCGGCCGAUUAAGUCGGGUGUGAAAGCCCUGGGCUCAACCCAGGAAGUGCACUCGAAACUGGUCGGCUUGAAUAUGGAAGAGGGUCGCGGAAUUCCCGGUGUAGAGGUGAAAUUCGUAGAUAUCGGGAGGAACACCAGUGGCGAAGGCGGCGACCUGGGCCAAUAUUGACGCUGAGGUGCGAAAGCGUGGGGAGCAAACAGG